rnacentral:rRNA from 1 species
GACGAACGCUGGCGGCGUGCUUAACACAUGCAGGUCGAACGGAAAGGCCCUGCUUUUGUGGGGUGCUCGAGUGGCGAACGGGUGAGUAACACGUGAGUAACCUGCCCUUGACUUUGGGAUAACUUCAGGAAACUGGGGCUAAUACCGGAUAGGAGCUCCUGCUGCAUGGUGGGGGUUGGAAAGUUUCGGCGGUUGGGGAUGGACCCGCGGCUUAUCAGCUUGUUGGUGGGGUAGUGGCUUACCAAGGCUUUGACGGGUAGCCGGCCUGAGAGGGUGACCGGCCACAUUGGGACUGAGAUACGGCCCAGACUCCUACGGGAGGCAGCAGUGGGGAAUAUUGCACAAUGGGCGGAAGCCUGAUGCAGCAACGCCGCGUGCGGGAUGACGGCCUUCGGGUUGUAAACCGCUUUCGCCUGUGACGAAGCGUGAGUGACGGUAAUGGGUAAAGAAGCACCGGCUAACUACGUG